UACCAGCACCCCGAGUGGUCGGGACGAUUAUUGGGCCUAAAGCAUCCGUAGCCGGUUCUACAGGUCUUCCGUUAAAUCCACCUGCUUAACAGAUGGGCUGCGGAGGAUACUAUGGAGCUAGGAGGCGGGAGAGGCGAGCGGUACUUAGUGGGUAGGGGUAAAAUCCGUUGAUCCAUUGAAGACCACCAGUGGCGAAGGCGGCUUGCCAGAACGCACUCGACGGUGAGGGAUGAAAGCUGGGGGAGCAAACCGG
rnacentral:rRNA from 1 species